GGUCCUUUCGUCUAACGGUUAGGACGCAAGAUUUUCAUUCUUGUAAUACGGGUUCGAUUCCCGUAGGGACUA
rnacentral:tRNA from 1 species